AGCAGAGGUUAAAGUUCACAUUACACAAUCUGUAAGGCACAGUUUAAAUCAUUAAACAGCCUUCCUAGGCUGUUCCUGUUUUCACGCCCCCACAAAUCAGCUUUUCUAGUCCUUUACUUUCUUUUUUCUUCUUCUCUCUCUCCCCUUCUCCCCUCUCCCUCUCUCUGCCUCCCCUGCCCUUUCCAGUGCUGGGAAUGGAACCCAAGGCUUCAUGCAUGCUAGGUAAGCAUUGCACCACUGAGCUACACUCCCAGCUUUAUGCUUCCUUUAAUGGGGUUUUCAUAUACACUACUUUGUUACUUGCAAGAAAAAGAGUCCUUCUCUUUUCAGGCCUCAGUUCCAUCCUCAGCCUCUGACAGAGAUUCUCUUUUGCCCAUCAGAACCUCUGAUGUAGUAGGAAACUACGAACAAACCUGGGAUGGAACCUUUUUGGUGCUGAAUUUCUAUCCUAGAAAUUCUUAAAAAUACAAAGUAUCUACCUAGAGGCUCGAAUCAACACUAGUUGACAAUUAAUUGGCAACUAGACCAAGGUGGUGAGAGGGGAUUAUAUUCGAGGAUGUUCAUUCCAGCAUAAAGAAGAGGAAGAGGGCUCCAAGCUAACUUACGAGCAGGAGGGAUGCUGGAGACAGGACCCGCAAAGGUGUGUGCCUGGUAAUGCUCCACCAGAUGACCCUUCAGGUGCUGGACAUGCUGCCAACAAAUAACCUCCACUGUCGGCUCUGGACAGGAAGUGGCCAGGCUGUGGGGCAUCGUCUUGCUCAAGUUCACAUCCCUGUCCUGGGGCAGCCUGCACCCGAUGGCAGGGAGAGCUGGGUUAUAAAGACUCAGCCCCUUGAACCUGCACCCAGGACAAUCAGAGUAGCAUUCUUGCAUUAGGAGACUGUGUCACAGCUCAGCUUCUUCACCUGCCUCUUCCAGAGAUGGGAAUCCCCAGAGCUCUUCCUUACAUGUUCCCGAGUGCUGAUCUCUAUCUCAGAGUCUGCUUCUCAAGGAACCCAACUGAAGCAAUGUCCUGGAAGAAUUUAGAAGCAUUUUUAAACAAUGUGACAUUCCCAUAUCUUCUCAAAAAAAAACACAAAAAACUAAAUUAAAGCUAAAAUUUAAAAAUACUUCCUUUAGUGCAGUAAAGCUCUUAACAGGCAAAUGAUAAGUGUUCUGUACACAUCCGUUCUUGACUCCGCAGUAUGGGUCUCACUGGAGAGCAUAUUAGAAUUGCAGAAUCCAGUGAAAUCAGAAUGUGUAUUUGAACAAGAUUUUCAGAGGAUUCUAAUGUGUAGCAUUGUUGGAUAAACCCUGCCCCACAGGACAAGUGGGUGAGGAUGAUCCCACAGGAAUGCUGACUGGUAGCAGAAGUAUCCCGGCCCCUUCUUUCUGCCCAGCGGGAGGAAGCUGUUUUUAGUUCAGAUGGUACUGUUCCUUCUAAAAGGAGUUUAAAGACAUGCGUCUUUCACAGAGCAGUCACAAAGAGGCAGAAAACACAGAGAGAUGGUCAGGAAAUGAGCAUCAGUGUUAAGCAAACGGGAAAAGACACCUCCAAAAUGAAGUCCCAGCACUUCUCAGAGCACAGAGGAAAGAGGAAAAGCCUCCCUGGAAAUACAAUCACUGGACUUUGAAUCCAGCAGUGAUUUCAAUCUUUCCCAAAUGGCAAUAAGGAAUCUAGUCUACGAAGCCUUCCAUGUAGCAGCAGGGAUAUUCAGGCGGAGUCUGACCUCUGAGUAGCCUUGCUAAUAAGCGCCCUACAGUAGGCAAGAACAGGCGAGUGACACUCAUGACAAUGUUGCUCCACUAUGAUCCAUUUAUGUUGAGCUUUGGCCUAUUCUCACUGAAGAACAAGGACAGCCACACUACAACAAGGACAAGCCAUUCUACAGGAAGGACAAGCAGCUGCCAGGAGGAGAGGCAGGGGCUCCCAGUUCCCAGGGACACACAGCUAACUCAUCCCACCAUGUCUCAACUCAGAAUGCAGCAAGCAAACCUGCAUAGAUUCCCUGGGCAGCCCUCACAGAUGAAAAAACCAUGAAGGCACUGAAAUUUUAAAGGACGUAGAGUUAUACAGCUAAGUGGAAGAGCCGAGAUGAGGACACAGGCAACCAGAGGCCUGUGCCUACUCACUCACCACUGUGCCACUGAUCACUGAGAAUCUUCUGUUUCCAGGUCCCGCACUGCCUUCUCUGCACACAUUUUCUCUGGUCUUCACCAUAUUUCUAUAAAAAACAUAUGUGCCCAGCUUCACAAUGAGAGACUAAACAAACUUGCCUAACUAAGAUCUUGGUCAGUAGAUAUAAAUGUCCAGUUUCCAGCAUGUCUAUGCUGUCCUGUGAAUUAUUUACCUUUCCAUGCACUUGAUUUUUUCCCAUAUCUCCAAGUUCCC
ensembl:lncRNA